rnacentral:rRNA from 1 species
CAAGUCGAGCGAACCCUUCGGGGUGAGCGGCGGACGGGUUGAGUAACGCGUGGGUAACCUGCCCUGUACACACGGAUAACAUACCGAAAGGUAUGCUAAUACGGGAUAACAUAUGAGAGUCGCAUGGCUUUUGUAUCAAAGCUCCGGCGGUACAGGAUGGACCCGCGUCUGAUUAGCUAGUUGGUAAGGUAACGGCUUACCAAGGCAACGAUCAGUAGCCGACCUGAGAGGGUGAUCGGCCACAUUGGAACUGAGACACGGUCCAAACUCCUACGGGAGGCAGCAGUGGGGAAUAUUGCACAAUGGGCGAAAGCCUGAUGCAGCAACGCCGCGUGAGCGAUGAAGGCCUUCGGGUCGUAAAGCUCUGUCCUCAAGGAAGAUAAUGACGGUACUUGAGGAGGAAGCCCCGGCUAACUACGUGCCAGCAGCCGCGGUAAUACGUAGGGGGCUAGCGUUAUCCGGAAUUACUGGGCGUAAAGGGUGCGUAGGCGGUCUUUCAAGCCAGAAGUGAAAGGCUACGGCUCAACCGUAGUAAGCUUUUGGAACUGUAGGACUUGAGUGCAGGAGAGGAGAGUGGAAUUCCUAGUGUAGCGGUGAAAUGCGUAGAUAUUAGGAGGAACACCAGUAGCGAAGGCGGCUCUCUGGACUGUAACUGACGCUGAGGCACGAAAGCGUGGGGAGCAAACAGGAUUAGAUACCCUGGUAGUCCACGCCGUAAACGAUGAGUACUA